AAGUCGUAACAAGGUUUCCGUAGGUGAACCUGCGGAAGGAUCAUUAACACUUACCUGUUCAUGCUUGUAACAAAGCUGUGAACAUGUAUACCAACACAACCUCUGUGCUCCUUUUCUUUUUUCCACACCUUUUUAACCCAUACACAUAGAAAUAUUCAAAUUCAGUAUGUUGCUUAACCGCACCAUAUGUUGUUUAGUUUAAUGAAUACUAUUUCAAAUGUAGUGUUAAUUCACUUACGUUUGAUAUAUGUAUUUGUGACACACAACUCUUAACAAUGGAUAUCUUGGCUCUC
rnacentral:misc_RNA from 1 species